GACGUAGGGUGCGAGCGUUGUCCGGAUUUAUUGGGCGUAAAGAGCUCGUAGGCGGCUUGUUACGUCGGCUGUGAAAACCCGCGGCUCAACCGCGGGCCUGCAGCCGAUACGGGCAGGCUAGAGUUCGGUAGGGGAGAGUGGAAUUCCUGGUGUAGCGGUGAAAUGCGCAGAUAUCAGGAAGAACACCCGUGGCGAAAGCGGCUCUCUGGAACGGUACUGACGCUGAGGAGCGAAAGCGUGGGGAGCGAACAGG
rnacentral:rRNA from 1 species